GUGCUUGCUUCGGCAGCACAUAUACUAAAAUUGGAACGAUACAGAGAAGAUUAGCAUGGCCCCUGCACAAGAAUGGCACACACAUUUAUGAAGUAUUCCAUAUUUUU
ensembl:snRNA U6 U6 spliceosomal RNA